GACGAACGCUGGCGGCGUGCCUAAUACAUGCAAGUCGAACGCAGUGGGGACGGGUGAGUAACACGUGGGUAACCUCCCAUCAGAGGGGAUAACACUUGGAAACAGGUGCUAAACCGAUACUGAUGGAUGGACCCGCGGUGCAUUAGCUAGUUGGUGAGGUAACGGCCUACCAAGGCAAUGAUGCAUAGCCGACCUGAGGGGGUAAUCGGCCACAUUGGGACGGGGACACUGCCCAAACUCCUACGGGAGGCAGCAGUAGGGAAUCUUCCGCAAUGGGCGCAAGCCUGACGGAGCAACGCCGCGUGAGUGAAGAAGGUUUUCGGAUCGUAAAGCUCUGUUGUAAGAGAAGCGGUAUCUAACCAGAAAGCCACGGCUAACUACGUGCCAGCAGCCGCGGUAAUAC
rnacentral:rRNA from 1 species